ensembl:lncRNA
CUCGAUGAUCCCGAGUCCCGGCGCGCAGGACGCCCGCGCAGGCGCAGGCGCAGGCGCAGCCGCCCGAGCCCACUGCUCGAGACGGCGCCCUCUGCUGGACUUCGGAGCGAAAUCCAAAGCGCUCCCCUCAGUCGCGUGAAACACCUUGUCAGACUCAGGCUCGGCUGGCUCAGGGCGGCGCCCGCCGCCUGCUCCUCGGAGGUGGCGUUACCAGUUGUGACAGUUCGUCCAAAUCUCUGUUUCUGGGGCUCAGAAACGCCUGUGCUGGAGGACAGAGGCCCACCUUUGACUGCUGGCUUCCUGGCCAGGGGAGCCAAGGUGGGUGAGUGGCAGCACCCUCUGAGUUUCCUGGGCAGAUCAGCAGCUGUUGCUGUUUCCAAGGAAGCUCGAUUCAGAAUAUCUUUUUGAGCAAUCCACGAGUCGGAGUCAAAGAGGAAGUCUCAAAAUUAAAAAAAAAAAAAAGAAUGAAAAUGCAAAUGCCACAGUGAAGUUUGUGGAGUGCAGCUGAAGCUGUGCCUAGAGGGAAAGCUACAGCACAGAAGGCUAAUAUGAGAAGAGCUGCCUCACAUCAGGGAUAUAAACUCACAGCCCCAAACCCAGAAAAAGAAGUAUAAAGUAAACUCAAAGUAAGGAGAAGGAAAAAAACACUAAAUCUAUGAGUAGAAUCAGUGUAGCUGACCCUCAGACUCCACAGAUUGGCGCCAGGAGCCCCCUUGGAGAUCCAAACACCCAGAUGCUCAAGUCCGUUAUAUAAAAUGGUUCGGUGUUUGCAUAGGAGCUGAGCACCACCUCCUGAAUCAUCUCUAGAUGACGUGUACUACCUAAUUCAGUAUAAACGCUGGCCAAUAGUUGUUACUGUAUUGUUUGAGGAAUAGUGACAAGACAAAGUCUACACAAGUGCAAUAGAUUAAAUUACACUGAGAAGUUGGUCGAACUCUUGGAUAGGAAUCCUUGGACACGGAGGGCUGGCUGUACCCGAGAUGAAAAUGGGAAAGCGACCCAGCCACUUGAGAUAGCAUUUUCUGAAGGGUCACUGCACAAAUCCCAGGCCUUGGCUUCUGAGCUCUUUGCUCUCAAGGAAGGUGCUUGAUGAGGCAGAGCAACAAAUCUUGUGAUUCCUCUGUGACCUUGGGGGCAAACUGAGCCUCCAGGGCCUCCCCACUUUCCCUUCGGUUCGUGCACCAGACACACUGCCGUGGUGGAGCCCAAGGCGGAGUGUCCCAGGCACAACAAUGAUAUUUCUGGGCUCAUGGGCCACAAAUGGGAAGUCAGGGCAGCACAGGCCUCAGAGAUAGGUGAUCCAAGGCCUCCAGCCUCAUUGAGGUGGUACCUUUAUCCUUCUUCCUGAAUCUCCAAGAGCCAGAUGGUAUAGCUCUAAGGCGCUCUUGGCUCUACCUUGGAGCUGUGGCAAAGGAGAAAGGGCUCCUUAACCAGCUUCUAUAGAAAAAUCUUGGGCUGUGAUCUGAUUGGUUCUGCUUGAGUCAUGUGAUCACAGCCAGGCCACUCCCGGCGGAGCAGAGGCGGGGUCUGUCCUCCAGGGAGCUGAGCAGAAACCUAGCAGCCCAGCUCCUGAGCUGGGACACCUGCUGUGCAUGGGGCCUUGACUGCGCCUGGGCACAGGAGUCAGGAGGACUCCUCAGGAGCACCCUGGAGCAGGCCCACACAUAUGUGGGGAAGGCUGGAUCACCCUAGUAUCACGAUUGCUGCAAUGAACCCAGCAAAAUAAUAGGAAACAGGUACUCUGAGUCCCUCACCCCCACAUGGUUCCCUUCCCUGCCAUGGCUAUGGCCACGGAGGAGUCCUCAUCCGGCCUGGUCCUUGGUCCAUGUCCUGGGCAUCCUUGUGUCCAGCUGUCCACACUAGGCCCCUUCCUGCCGCAGAAGCCCGAGCCUUUGCUUCUACCCUUGCCUCUCAGGAAAGCUGCUUCAAAUGAUGUGUGUAGACACAUAAACCCAUGCAGAAGUGUGAACAGAAUGUGAUUUUAUAAUCUGUUGUUUAUUCAUAUUACUCAUAUUCUAUAAAAUACUUAUACAGUAUAUAAAUGUACCUAUUAGUAUAGACAGCAAAUUAGAGAGAAAUUAAUAUACAGUUUGAGAGGGACUUGGCCCUCAAGGAAGUCAGCACAAAAAUAAAGACAUGAGAAUUGUGGCUGGAGGCAAAUCUGAAGAAGGCCAGGCCUCUCAGGAUGGAGAUGCAAUAGGCAGCCCUGCAUUUCUACCCAGAGAUACAGCAACUCGAGGUUAGACUGUAACUAGCACCAAGUGGUCCAGUGUGCCCAGCAGACACCAGACACAUAGGUGGGAACCAGUACACCUGGACCCACACUCCUCUGCCUUUCCAGGAAGGUCUUGCUACGUGACUCAUUUCCCUACUGGAUCAGCAUUAGCUAAGUGGCUAUUCCUGUACUCCUACGGUUGAUUAUUGUUUGUCCCACAUCGUACCCACUUUGUGACUCUGCUGUAUAAAUUACCCUGACAAAGGGCCUUGGUGGCUGCCCACUUGGCACCCCUCCUGGAAAUUCAGGAGCUAUUCUUUCCUUUAUUUCCAAUAAAACUCUCCUGACUUCCUCCUUUGCUUUAUGACUUCAUUCCUGAGGUCCUGAGACCAUGAACUUGGGACAUCUGACAGCAGUCAGGUCAGGAGUUAUUUUUCCUAUACCACUGUCACUAUCGUUCUUUCAUUCAUAUGUCUUGUUUUCUUCCUUUUCCUCUUCUUCUUUUCCUAUUUGUAGCCCUGGGAAUUAACCUAGCUGCAUCCUUAGCCCUUUUUAAUUUUUUUUAUUUUGAAACAUUUUCUCCCUAAGUCACUAAAUUGCCCAGGCUAGGCUUGAACUUGCAAUCAUCCUGCCUCAGCUUCCCAGAGUGCUGGCAUUACAGGUGUGCACCACUCUGCCUGGCUUCGUAUGCCUUAUUUUCUAAUUAAAACUUGUAAAAUGUUACAGUAAAGUUCCUUAUUACUCUAGCCUGAAUCACGUUCUGUCUUUAUUCUCUGACUUGAGAAAAAUCAAUCAUGAAUUUAGUGUUUCUCUUUCGUUUCGUUUUUGUUCUUAUUUUCAGCUGAGUAGGUGUUAAGCAGGUAAUUUGUUCACACGUUUCAAAAGUCACAAGGUACAGAAGGAAGGGUCUCCCUCUGCACUCUGCAUUCUAACACUCCCACAGAAGGGAAGCCAAGAGCAGCAGGUGGGUGGGCACUGGGCAGUGCAUGUCCACAGCUGGUGGGAAGGGGUGUAUCAUCACUUGGGCUGUGGCCUCCCACCCUGUUUUCUUGCAGCAAUUUGAUCUCUAGUGGUGUUAGGAUUAGGGUUAGUUAAAAGUGACAGAAACAUCAAGCAACAGUGGCUUCAACAAGGUACAUGGUUAUUUCGUUUCUUUUCUAUUUUUCUUUUUGGUACCGGAUAUCGAACUCAGGACUUGUGUUUGCGAGGCAGGUGGUGGCACCACUGAGCUAAAUCCCUGGCCCUCUUUUCUGUUUGUUUUUGAGACAGGGUCUCGCUUUUAGUUUAGGCUGACCUUGAAAUCACUAUGUAGCCUUGGCUGGCCUCUAACUCAUGGCAAUCCUCCUG